GAGAGAAGAGAAGGUAGAACAGGGGAGGGAGAGAGAGAGAUAGGAGGGAGGACUUAUCUUCUCCGGUGACGACGACGCGGCGGCAUCGGCAGCGGCGACGCGGCGGCGGAAGCACCGAGCUGUUCCUGGUCGGCCGGAAAAGAGGAAAAGAGGGGGAGCUCAGAUCUGGAGCCUACCUUCCCGGCGAUGCAAGGCUCGGCCUCCACCGCGAUUCCAGCCAGACGAACGACGGAGGAGGCGACGGACGGCGGCCGAGCUCCUUCACGGCGAGGCGCAUGCAUCGAUUCCGCCGAGGGAGGAAGGGAGAAGAUGAGUGAGCAGAGGGAGGCGCCGGCAACGGCGGCUUUGCUGCUGCUGUCCGGCCAACGAUGGAGAGUGAGAUGGAGAGAAGGGCGGCGGCCAUGGCUGUCCUGUGGUCGCCGGAGCAGCUCACGGCGGAGCUCGCGAGGAAAACAGUGAGAGAGAGACGAUCGAGUGAGAUAGAGUUGAGGGAAGAGGGCGAGAAGUGAGAGGGAGAGAGGGAGGUAGAGCCGCCGGCCUCCGGCGACGGCGCGACCGUCCGGUGGCGGCGGCAGGCAGGAAGCCGAGAGGGAGAGAGAGGCGUAAGAGUGAGAGAGCGGCUGAUGAUGCUUGUGUGCUGAUGUGUGUGUUUUGUAUAUUUAUAUGUGUGUUAUAGAAUUAG
rnacentral:lncRNA from 1 species